rnacentral:tRNA from 1 species
UGGGGUGUAGCUCAGUGGUAGAGUAUUUUUCUGGCAUGCAUGAGGCCCUGGGUUUAAUCCCUAGCAACACAC